rnacentral:rRNA from 1 species
GAUAAACGCUAGCGGCAGGCUUAACACAUGCAAGUCGAGGGGCAGCAUAGAUUGUAGCAAUACAAUUGGUGGCGACCGGCGCACGGGUGCGUAACGCGUAUGCAACCUACCCGUCACAGGGGGAUAAUCCGGAGAAAUCUGGUCUAAUACCCCAUAACAUAUGGAUCGGCAUCGGUUCAUGUUGAAAUUUUAGGAGGUGACGGAUGGGCAUGCGUAGCAUUAGUUUGUUGGUGAGGUAACGGCUCACCAAGGCGACGAUGCGUAGGGGGACUGAGAGGUUUUCCCCCCACACUGGUACUGAGACACGGACCAGACUCCUACGGGAGGCAGCAGUGAGGAAUAUUGGUCAAUGGGCGCAAGCCUGAACCAGCCAUGCCGCGUGCAGGAUGACGGCUCUAUGAGUUGUAAACUGCUUUUGUACGAGGGUAAAGUGGGUUACGUGUAACCUUUUGAAAGUAUCGUACGAAUAAGGAUCGGCUAACUCCGUGCCAGCCGCCGCGGUAA